CUUCCUCCCUCAGCGUGGGCGUGAAGUGGGCUGUGGGUGAAAGGACCCUGACAGAUGAUAAUAUCUCGCUUUAUGGAGGCCAAACAGAGGCAUUGCAUUUGAAUAAAUGUCAAACUUGUCAUUACCAAAGUGGGGGCUUUAAAUGCAGGAAAAUACCACUGUUCAGACUCUACAGAUGAGCAAAAGGUGUUUAACAAAAUCAGGCUGCAUACCCUCGAUGGUGAGUAUUGACACUCUAUAAGUGCCGAUACAGAGCAUGCUGUAUUUACUUUGCUAUUAAAUUCUUUUCUAUCAUGUUUGUCUUUACAGUUACUUCAGAGUGUGUGCCAGGAGGAGAUAAUCUCACAUUGACUUGUGUGCUCACCUGCUCUAAAGAAUGUGGAAAAGACUUCGAUUUACUUUGGUCUGGAGGAAACCACAAUAGCUGGCAGAGCGGUUUAAUACAUGUCAAUAACACUCUUCUAAACAAGCUGUUUCUCCCAGUGCUUUCUGUUACUGGUGAAUUAACUUGCUCUAUACAAAGAGAGGGGAGAGUCAUGGCGUCAAAGAAAUGGCGCUCUAUUGACCUUCUGCAAACGCCAGGGUAGCUGUUCCUCUAGCCCUCCUGAUGUGUAUAUCUGCCAUUGGACUUUACAUGUACAUGAAGAGGAAGCACAACACAAAUACAGAAAAUGAACAGCCAAGUAUUGGAAUGACUCAUAUUUACGAGGUCAUUCAAGAAAAACAUAUCGAGGGACCACACCAGCACAGGCACACCGAAAGAGGAGCUGUCACCACAAC